rnacentral:rRNA from 1 species
GCCUAAAAUCUAGCCCGCACAAUCCGCAUGAUAUUCCUCAACACCUGUAAAAAAUAAAACAUUUCAACAUUUUAGUAUAGGCGAUAGAAAAUUUACUAGGCGCUUUAGACAAAGUACCGCAAGGGAAAUAUGAAAUAGAAAUGAAAUAACCCUACAGCCACAAACAGCAGAGUCACCCCCUCGUACCUUUCGCAUCAUGGUCUAGCUAGUCCCCACGAGCAAAAUGAAAGUUUUAGUUCGACACCCCGAAACUAGACGAGCUACUUCAAAACAGCCCCAAGGGGCCAACCCCUCUCUGUUGCAAAAGAGUGGGAAGAUUUUCAAGUAGAGGUGAUAAACCUACCGAGCCUAGAGAUAGCUGGUUGUUCAGGAAAAGAGUUUUAGCUCUGCCUUAAGUUUUCCUAUUCUACCAAACAAAUCCACAGACUUAAGAGUUAUUCAAAUUAGGCACAGCUUAUUUGAAACAGGAUACAACCUCCACCACUGGGUAAACAAGGGUAAUCAAAAUAAAGUGGGCCCAAAAGCAGCCAUCUUCCAAAAAGCGUCAAAGCUUACCUAUUCCAACCCAUAAUUUCUAAAAUACCCCACAACCCUUCACCCCUACUGAACCCUUUUAUACUAAUAUAAAAAUUAUUAUGCUAGAACUAGUAACAAGAAGUUGCCCUUCUCCACAAUGUAAACAUAAACCAAAACGGACUAUCCAUUGGUAGUUAACGUAAAUGAAGCCCCCAUAAUAACACAACUAGAGAACCUUAUGGCUCACCCCACGUUACCCUAACACCAGAACAUUACAGGAAAGAUUAAAAGAGAAAGAAGGAACUCGGCAAAUUUUAGCCCCGCCUGUUUACCAAAAACAUCGCCUCUUG